AUACGGAGGGUGCAAGCGUUAUCCGGAUUUACUGGGUUUAAAGGGUGCGUAGGCGGGCCUUUAAGUCAGUGGUGAAAUCUCCCGGCUCAACCGGGAAACUGCCAUUGAUACUAUUGGUCUUGAAUUCAGUUGAGGUGGGCGGAAUGUGUCGUGUAGCGGUGAAAUGCUUAGAUAUGACACAGAACACCAAUUGCGAAGGCAGCUCGCUAAACUGACAUUGACGCUGAGGCACGAAAGCGUGGGGAUCAAACAGGAUUAGAUACCCUGGUAGUCCACGCCCUAAACGAUGAUUACUCGAUCUGUGCGAUACACUGUACGGGUCUAUGCAAAAGCAUUAAGUAAUCCACCUGGGGAGUACGACCGCAAGGUUGAA
rnacentral:rRNA from 1 species